rnacentral:lncRNA from 1 species
GUAAAGGAUGCUAGCAUAAAGGAACUCUCUAAAAACAUUCCGUGGGGAAUAGCAUGAGCCCCGAGACGGACCAGAGACAGUUAUGUGAUUUCUUUGUGUUAUGACGCAUUUCAUGAGAGCAUGUAAUUAAUGAACUGUUUUCUAUGUUUCUACUCACUGGGCUUUUUAGCUCACCCCUCUCCCCUAACCCCAGUGUUGCAGGUUUAAGUCAGAGCUCAGAAGUCAGCAGGGUAAAGAUAUAGUGACGUGUGUUUGUAAUGUGGUAGUUUAUGUUUACGUUUCAGUUUAGUAGUUUUAGAAGUGGACAUGUAAUAUAA